CUCUGCUGCGCCCCCUCAGGAGGCCCGAGAGAGGCGCUUCCGGCUUCGGGGGCGCCGAGUGCUGAGGCCGCCCGUGUCCCUCAGGAGCCCGGGUGGCGCCGCGGGACCGACACGGGAGGAAACGAUCAGCCAGAAGAACCUUGAGGGUAGAAGUUACAAUAAUUCCUCCUGACAGUUGAUGCUGUGAGUAAAGUCACAGGUUGGAAGCCGGCACUUCCCCUCGGGCUGCUGGAGAUGAGGCCGCCUAAGGGCUUUGAGGAGACACGUAAGGUUACAUGAGGUCAGAAUGUGGUGGUCCAGCUCCAAU